UACAGAGGGGGCAAGCGUUAUUCGGAAUUACUGGGCGUAAAGAGCGCGCAGGCGGUCGUCCAAGUCGCGUGUGAAAGCCCCCGGCUCAACUGGGGAGGGUCACGCGAUACUGGUCGACUCGAAGGCAGGAGAGGGUAGUGGAAUUCCCGGUGUAGUGGUGAAAUGCGUAGAUAUCGUAAGGAAGACCAGUGGCGAAGGCGGGUCUCUGGACAGUUCCUGACGCUGAGGCACGAAGGCCAGGGGAGCAAACGGG
rnacentral:rRNA from 1 species